ACUCAAAUGAAUUGACGGGGACCCGCACAAGCGGUGGAGCGUGUUGUUUAAUUCGAUGGUAAACGAAGAACCUUACCCAGACUUGACAUCCUUGGAAUUUCUGCGAAAGCAGAAAGUGCUUUUAGAGCCAAGUGACAGGUGCUGCAUGGCCGUCGUCAGCUCGUGUCGUGAGAUGUUAGGUUAAGUCCUUUAACGAGCGCAACCCUUUUGUUUAGUUGGAUUUCUCUAAACAGACUGCCCUGGUAACAGGGAGGAAGGGGGGGAUGAUGUCAGGUCAGUAUUGCCCUUACGUCUGGGGCUACAAACACGCUACAAUGGCCGGUACAAAGGGCAGCCAACCCGCGAGGGGGAGCAAAUCCCAUCAAAGCCGGUCUCAGUUCGGAUUGGAGGCUGAAACUCGCCUCCAUGAAGCUGGAAUCGCUAGUAAUGGUAGGUCAGCUAUACUACCGUGAAUACGUUCCCGGGUCUUGCACACACCGCCCGU
rnacentral:rRNA from 1 species